ACACAUCUCUGACAGACCUGGAGCAGUUAGUGUCUCCUGCUAAGGUUUCCUCUAUAGAUGCAAGAAAAAGAAAGUCCUCGCACUUUCUGUCUGUCUGGUUGUGGCAGCCAAGAUUGAAUGGGGAAUAUAGGA
rnacentral:snoRNA from 1 species